UACGUAGGGUGCAAGCGUUAAUCGGAAUUACUGGGCGUAAAGCGUGCGCAGGCGGUUCUAUAAGACAGAUGUGAAAUCCCCGGGCUCAACCUGGGAACUGCAUUUGUGACUGUAGAGCUGGAGUACGGCAGAGGGGGAUGGAAUUCCGCGUGUAGCAGUGAAAUGCGUAGAUAUGCGGAGGAACACCGAUGGCGAAGGCAGGUCUCUGGGCUGACACUGACGCUCAUGCACGAAAGCGUGGGGAGCAAACAGG
rnacentral:rRNA from 1 species